rnacentral:rRNA from 1 species
GACGAACGCUGGCGGCGUGCUUAACACAUGCAAGUCGAACGGAAAGGCCCUGCUUUUGUGGGGUGCUCGAGUGGCGAACGGGUGAGUAACACGUGAGUAACCUGCCCUUGACUUUGGGAUAACUUCAGGAAACUGGGGCUAAUACCGGAUAGGAGCUCCUGCUGCAUGGUGGGGGUUGGAAAGUUUCGGUGGUUGGGGAUGGACUCGCGGUUUAUCAGCUUGUUGGUGGGGUAGUGGCUUACCAAGGCUUUGACGGGUAGCCGGCCUGAGAGGGUGACCGGCCACAUUGGGACUGAGAUACGGCCCAGACUCCUACGGGAGGCAGCAGUGGGGAAUAUUGCACAAUGGGCGGAAGCCUGAUGCAGCAACGCCGCGUGCGGGAUGACGGCCUUCGGGUUGUAAACCGCUUUCGCCCGUGACGAAGCGUGAGUGACGGUAAUGGGUAAAGAAGCACCGGCUAACUACGUG